GCCUCAGACCCCGGAGUAGCCGGGACUACAGGCGCCUGUGCAAUCUCUAUGGUAACCACAUUUCCCAGUUGACUACUACCGAAUCGGGCAGCCAUUAGAACCAAAACAGUUCUGAGGAGCUCCCAGGCUGCAAUGUGGUGCGAAAUGUUUUAUGGACAGAAAAUGGAAAUGAGGUGCAGAAAUUGGAGAUGAAAUUUCAGUCUUUAUUCAAGAUCAAGUGCAACUGUCUCUUUGAGGAAAGUCCUUUGACCGCCAUUUCUCCCCUUCAGAAGGCAAACACCUGGGGGAGAAGAUCUGCUUAAGGACCUGGUAACUGACAAAGAAUGGAAUGGGAGCGAGAACCGCCUAGCCAUCCCUUCUCCUUGCACAGUCAUGAAACAAAAGUUGAAAAGGAGCCUGGUUUUACUUGACCAGUCAUAAAUUACCAUAAAAUAAAAUGAGAUAUUAGGAACCUUUGAUCUCUGAAAAAGUAAUAUGUGUUGAAAAGAAAUAUCACUGUUACAUAUAGACAAAUAAUAGAAAUAUUUGAGGCAUGCAUUUAAAAUGUAGAGGCCACUUAUAGCAGGCAUAUUAACAUGUGCAUUUGCUUUUUAAGAAGUAUACACACGUGUACCUUUAGCUUUGAAAGGGUAAGAUUCAAUGCUUGGGUGAUGGAUGCACUAAAGUCUCAGAAGCCACCACUAAAGGACUUACCCACGUAACCGAAAACAACCUGUACUCCAAAAUCAAUGAAAUAAAAUAAAAAGGUAAGAUUCAUAAAUAGCAAGUUGAGAAUGCAUGUUUAUACCAUGUAGACAAUGCAUGA
rnacentral:lncRNA from 1 species